UUCCCAGCCCCAUUGCCACACGGCUCUUAAAUUCUACCCCCCUCGCCCUCUAUCAGUUCCGGGCGGAACCAGAGUUAAUCAUGUGAUCCUCUCGGUUCGUCUGCAAUCCCUUCCCCCGAGCAGUAGUUCCGCUGCGUUCAACCCUCCGUCACCGGCGUUCAGCUUGUGGUGAUGGUGAAUGGGUGAAUGAUCGGUGGCAGGCCUUUGCAAUAUGAGCAGAUUGCCCACUGGCCAGGAAAAUGCUGGAGUCAAUUGUUUUGGUCCCAAUGCCUCCCUCAGUACUGUACAAUCCAUCACUGCAUCCCAAGUGACAGCUAGGUUAGACCCAUACACAUCUAGUGGUAAACGGGUCAUUUCUGAUGUCAGGAGGACUUUCUGUUUAUUUGUUACAUUUGACCUUUUAUUUGUUGGUUUACUGUGGAUAAUCGAAUUGAAUGUAGAUGGUGGCAUAAUUCGUAGGUUAAAAACUGAAGUCAUAUGUUAUGAUUUCCACAGUUCUUACUUUGAUAUUUUUGUUACAACACUGGUGGGUAAUUGCGUGCGGUUGCCAGCAAAAUCAAAGAACAUUGGCGUCUCGUCCAUGUUACCAAUCAGUGAGAGCGGAUGCUGCCUGGCCUGCUGCGUUCACCAGCAACUUUUAUGUGUGUUGCCUCUACAAAAAGGGUUGGCUUAUACAAAGAUUACAACAGCCGUUACCAGUGCCUUUCUAAUUGCAAAGGUUAUCAUUUCCAAGCUUUUGGUAGAAGGAACAGCCUUUGCCUAUUUGCUGCCAAUAAUCUCCUUCAUACUUGCCUGGAUUGAGACCUGGUUCCUGGAUUUUAAAGUUUUGCCGCAAGAGGCAAAGGAUGAAAACAGAGUCUUUACUGUAUCUGAUGUAUCAGAACAUGCACCUCUCAUCCUACCUGGCCCUCUCUCAGAUGGCCAGUUUUAUUCUCCGCCUGAAUCUAUUGUGGAUUCUGAAGAAGAAAAUGAUACCGAGUAUCCAGCACAUUAGCAGGUGUGGAAAAUGGUGCAUCAGUUGACUCCUGUUUGUUUUGCUCAACUUCUAGCCUCAGGUGGAUAAAGUUCAGUCUGAAGCAAAUAUUGGAACUCUUUGAAAUAGCAGAGCUUUGAGAUUCGCCUGAGACUUGAAUUAUUCUUGGGUAUGACCGUGUUUAGCCAAUAGCAAGACUUGAUUCACUGUGCUCAAGAACCCUUCAGCUGUUGGGAGUUCAUCGCUAUACUGCCUUCUGCCAUCUUGGAAAUGGCUUCUUUAUCCUCCCUUUACUAAACCAAUACUCUAAUCACGCAAUCCUGCACGAUUAGUUUCCAAAAUAUGUAAUUUUGGUUUGGAAUCAAUUAAUUCAUGAUUAAUAAUUCUAUUUAAAAUAACUUUGAAGGGUGUGAUUAGAUUAUCUGUCCAAUGUAUUUGGGCCUGUUCAUUUUAAGCAUUAUGUUGCACUAUGAUUCUUGAUUAUUUGUGUUUGGUCUUUCAUUAUUUUAAAUGAAAUUGGCCAAACACAGUAAAUGAUAAAAUGUUCUGAACUGUUUUCAGACUUUGCCUUAUUUGUAAAGGUAAGUAUGAAAGGGAGCACUGCAUGAGUGCCCUGCUGCAUGUGUUUGUCACCCAUGUUCCCAGAGUGUCACUGCAUGUCAUAACUUUCUUCAGAAUUAAGGAAGCUUCUUAAAAAUUAUUUGUAUUUCUUAACAAUAGUAACAUGUUCUGUACGGCAGCUUGUAACAAGACUCAGCAGCAGCACUCUCUGCUAAGCACUCAGUGACCCAGCUCCCUCUGAUUAGGGGUGUACAAAAUUCCCAUCUUUGGUCUAGAAUAUUCCAUGCUUUGUGAUAGUUGAAAUAAAAGUUUUAAAAAGCAGCAUUUUAUUUGAUUGCAGUCAAAUAGACUCUCUGAUAAAGAACAUUGUACCUGGCAAAGCUCUAGCAGUUCCUAGCUCAUCUCUCUCCUGCAGCUGUGGAAAACGUUAAGAUUUUGCAAUGAUAUUGUACCAAGAUUGUCUGACCACUACCCCUAGGAAGACACCUGUCUUUUUUAACCUCCCUUGCUUCAGUAAAGCAACAUGUCUUCUGACCCUGCCCUAAGGAAGCUUCCAUGCCCUUUGAACUGCAUAUAGAUGGGCUAGCCAGCUCUUCUCAAGCUCUUCUACAACCUGCCUCCAGCACUGAGGUCUUUAAAUUCUUAAUCACUACUCAGUAAUCACUACCUAGGAAGGAAUCAAAUAUGUGCUUUACUUGACCAUCAGAUUUUGGCUUCUCAAAACUCUGAGACAGCUGUAAGUUUGAUUAUAAACAAGAAUUGGUAAGGAUGCAUCUUCUCUUUCCAGGGCAACAGGAGGCAACGAGAGUUAAUUAGUAGCAUAUCUCUUUAACAGAUGAUUCCUUUGUCCACAGCUCCCCAUAGAAUGAGAGCAGUGUUGUAGAAUGGUGGGCAGAGAAUAUACUGCAUCUAAAGAGUACUUUUGUUAAUUAUUCUCAGUUUUGCACAGAUUAAUGUAAUAGCUUUGAUUUGAAGUGAUGAUCAUAAUUUGGCUUUAUUAAUAUAGUUUGAUGUCUUAAGUAAAGUUAUGGUGCAAUUAGGUACACCUGUUCAAACAAGUUUUGCAAAUCAGUUAUUUAAUGUUAAUCAAUUCAGUGAGAUAUUGGAGUACUGCAGUUCAUGCACUGAUACUGAAUUACUUAGUGGCUAUUCCCAAAGCGCAUUUACGUCAUAUUUCAUAUGUGAUAUCCACUUUUAAUUGCAAUUGAGAACUGUUUUUAUAUUUAAAUCAAAUUAUUGGAAUUUCUAAUUGUUUUAUCUCAAACAACUUCAAGAGCAGGCUCUUUGUUCAAAAUGAUUGAAUAAUUAUCUGUUCAAUUUAUCAGCUGAUGUGUUUUUUCUGUCUGCAACCUUGCACUAUUUGUAUUCUGAUCAUAUUUUUAAGGUAAAGUUCCAACUGAAUUAAUAUUCCUAAUGUUUAUGUUUCUAUGUAUAUCUAACAGUGGAUUAUAGCCCAGUGAUUUUUUUUUAUUGUAUCUCUAUUCAUUGAGUUUCUUCCCUGUCAGCUGUCUUUCAAAAAGACAUCCUACAGUGGGAAUGAGAUCGAAUAGUGAUGGAAUGGAAAAAAAAUGGUCCUGCUUCUUAGUGAUGCUAGGUCUAAUUCUACACAAAAGAAUUGAGUUUCUUCUGUGCUUAAUGUCAGCAGUUUGAUCACUUUAUGAUUAGCUUACAAAUAAUUGUCUGAAUAAAAAAACGUCAACAAAUGCAAAGCUGUGCAAAAAAGUUCUGCAUGCAAUAUCUGUAUCUCCAGUCAUGACUUGUUUUAUUAAUGUAAUAAAUGCAUUAUCGUUUCACUAA